GAGACUAAAAUAGUAAUGAGAUGCCCUGUGCGCCAGGGGAACACAGGCGGCUGAAUGUUUGGAAGGAGCUCAUCUGAAUAUCUCCCAGGCACAAUCGCGCCCUCGAAUGAAAGGAAAGCAACUUCUUAGAGGACUCAUCAACGUUGUGUUUGUCUCAAAUUGGCGACAGGAUCGAAAAAAAACAGAGAGAGAGAGAGAGAGAAAGACAGAGAGAGAGGGGGAGGGGGACAGGGGAGAGAUAAUUAAUGCGGAUUGACUGAUGGCAACAGCAGAAAUGCAGAAGAUUGUGAAUGAUCAAUGGAGCAGUAAUGACUGACAGCUUCCCUCCAACUUGUUUUCUAUUAUUUUCUCUUCUAAAUGGGGAAAGCGUGGCUAGAUAUAUAUUUUUCUUUUUUCUCUAAAUGUUACAUUCCAUCAACUGAUCAUUAAUGACCGCGUCAGACUCCGUGAUGUUGUGAAUCGGCGAUUCUUUUAAGAAUACUUUUUUUAAGCCGAGACUGUUUUUUCCUCUCUCUCUCUCCCCCCCUUCCUGAUUUUUGUACAGAGUUUUAAUCAGAUAUUUUUUAAAAUAUAUAUACAAGGCAAGGAUGCCACGGCAGAUGUAAAUCUGAUUGGAACCAGUUUCAAUGUCAGUCACCAACGGAGCAGUGACACCGAAUCUUGGACAAGAAACUAACUAACCGAGCUAUCUGACCGAGCGAGAAAAGGCGCACUCACUCCAGAGACCAACGUGAGAUUGACAAAGUUUACUUGCAGUAACCAGGUAAACAAAGGUUCAGCAAAUCGCCGUGCUGGAGAAUUUGCUGAGACGUUUCUCAAGGGCACGCUGGAGAGAAAAGAUUUAUUUUCCAAUCUCCACAUGAACACACCAACAAGACAGACAGAUCGAGCUAAUCUCCACCCAACCCUCUCCAACCCUGUUAUUUAUUUGCAAGAGGGCUUUAAAGAAAUUGGAUUUUUACCCACGGAAGGUGUGCAGUGGAGAUGGGGGAAUCGGUGUUGGGCUGAACUUACGCUGAAGCCGAACCAGAGAAAGUGAACGUAUUGCUUGUCGGGUGGCAGGAGAGACCGAGGGUACAAAGCGCUUUAAUGACAGACUCUCUUCCUACUUCAUUUGACCCGCACAACACAACAAAACGGGGGGAUUCGCUCGUUCAAAGAUCCCAGAUAUGAAACGCUGCAAUUUGCACCCCAACAAAGUAACAAAGUACAGACACCUAAUAUGGCCUUCAGCUUGCAUUCAACAAGAAGCUGAUGAGAGAGAGAGAAAGAUGGGAAGCGAGGGAGAAAGAUGAGGACCCCCGAGCCGCAUCUGUCCCCCUGGUACCACAGGGAAUCCUAAACAAUACAGAGAAGACACAGACUGCAGGAGAAGCCAACUGAUAGCAGGUUUGGGAAUUUUGAGGGAUGGGGAAUGAAUAAAAUAUAUAUAUAUAUAUAUAAAAUAAGAAAAAAAUCUAGUGUUUUUUUAAAAAAUACGCAGUCUUGUACUAAUCCUUGCAUUUGAUAUAGUGCCUUAUUGGGUCGUGGAGACAUCUCACAGAGUAUACUGUAAAGUGAAUUGACUGUGUAUAUUGUGGUCUUGUACAAUGGAGACCUUGAUAUAAUUAAUGAGUAUCUUUGAAGAUAUUAAUUGCCUUUUUUUCUUUCUUAAAAGUUAUUUUGAUCUGUUUCACUUAACUUUCAGUUGCCAAAAGUAUAUUACUCAGUUUGAAAUGACAUUAAGUUAUUGCCUAGUUUCAUUUUAUUCGGGCGUGGGGAAGAGGGGAGAAUAAGUUUGCCAAAAAGUACAUUUCAGUAUUCAACUUGCAAUUAAAAUAUUGAACAGAAAUUCACUCUCAAUGGAGGAGCUAUUUCACAGAUUCCCUCCGGCUCUGUGCGCGCGUGUGUGUAUUUACAUUCCAUUUCCCUCAAUGUUUCUGGAAUAUAUAACAACAAAAAUAAAAAAUUAAGUUGGUAUUG